rnacentral:rRNA from 1 species
UUGAACGCUGGCGGCAUGCCUUACACAUGCAAGUCGAACGGCAGCACGGGUGCUUGCACCUGGUGGCGAGUGGCGAACGGGUGAGUAAUACAUCGGAACAUGUCCUGUAGUGGGGGAUAGCCCGGCGAAAGCCGGAUUAAUACCGCAUACGAUCUACGGAUGAAAGCGGGGGACCUUCGGGCCUCGCGCUAUAGGGUUGGCCGAUGGCUGAUUAGCUAGUUGGUGGGGUAAAGGCCUACCAAGGCGACGAUCAGUAGCUGGUCUGAGAGGACGACCAGCCACACUGGGACUGAGACACGGCCCAGACUCCUACGGGAGGCAGCAGUGGGGAAUUUUGGACAAUGGGCGAAAGCCUGAUCCAGCAAUGCCGCGUGUGUGAAGAAGGCCUUCGGGUUGUAAAGCACUUUUGUCCGGAAAGAAAUCCUUGGCUCUAAUACAGUCGGGGGAUGACGGUACCGGAAGAAUAAGCACCGGCUAACUACGUGCCAGCAGCCGCGGUAAUACGUAGGGUGCGAGCGUUAAUCGGAAUUACUGGGCGUAAAGCGUGCGCAGGCGGUUUGCUAAGACCGAUGUGAAAUCCCCGGGCUCAACCUGGGAACUGCAUUGGUGACUGGCAGGCUAGAGUAUGGCAGAGGGGGGUAGAAUUCCACGUGUAGCAGUGAAAUGCGUAGAGAUGUGGAGGAAUACCGAUGGCGAAGGCAGCCCCCUGGGCCAAUACUGACGCUCAUGCACGAAAGCGUGGGGAGCAAACAGGAUUAGAUACCCCUGGUAGUCCACGCCCUAAACGAUGUCAACUAGUUGUUGGGGAUUCAUUUCCUUAGUAACGUAGCUAACGCGUGAAGUUGACCGCCUGGGGAGUACGGUCGCAAGAUUAAAACUCAAAGGAAUUGACGGGGACCCGCACAAGCGGUGGAUGAUGUGGAUUAAUUCGAUGCAACGCGAAAAACCUUACCUACCCUUGACAUGGUCGGAAUCCCGCUGAGAGGUGGGAGUGCUCGAAAGAGAACCGGCGCACAGGUGCUGCAUGGCUGUCGUCAGCUCGUGUCGUGAGAUGUUGGGUUAAGUCCCGCAACGAGCGCAACCCUUGUCCUUAGUUGCUACGCAAGAGCACUCUAAGGAGACUGCCGGUGACAAACCGGAGGAAGGUGGGGAUGACGUCAAGUCCUCAUGGCCCUUAUGGGUAGGGCUUCACACGUCAUACAAUGGUCGGAACAGAGGGUUGCCAACCCGCGAGGGGGAGCUAAUCCCAGAAAACCGAUCGUAGUCCGGAUUGCACUCUGCAACUCGAGUGCAUGAAGCUGGAAUCGCUAGUAAUCGCGGAUCAGCAUGCCGCGGUGAAUACGUUCCCGGGUCUUGUACACACCGCC